rnacentral:rRNA from 1 species
UACGUAGGUGGCAAGCGUUGUCCGGAUUUAUUGGGUUUAAAGGGUGCGUAGGCGGCUUUAUAAGUCAGUGCUGAAAUAUCCCGGCUUAACCGGGAGGGUGGCAUUGAUACUGCAGAGCUUGAGUGAAGUCGAGGUAGGCGGAAUUGACGGUGUAGCGGUGAAGUGCUUAGAUAUCGUCAAGAACACCGAUAGUGAAGACAGCUUACUAGACUUCAACUGACGCUGAGGCACGAAAGUGUGGGGAUCAAACAGG